rnacentral:lncRNA from 1 species
UCUGCUGUUUGUAUUUUCUGAAAGGCUGAAAUGAAAAGGAUAAGUAAAACCUGUACAUUGGAGCCACAUUAUUCAUUUCUGCCCUUAACAUUUUCCGAAGCCUCUUAAACCGAAAAAGAUAAGAUCUGUCAACACAAACAUAGUAGAAAUAUAUGUGAAACCAUCUGAGCCUGAGCCCACGUAAUUCAAAUCAUCAACUGCAGUGAAAGGAGAUGAAAAAUAAACAUAUAAUUCUUGCCAAAUAUAAUUAUUGCCCUCAAGGUACAAGCACAUUGCUCAAAAUAAUUUAUCAUGAUAACAAGACCACAAAAGCACUAUAAACAGCACUCUAUAGGUCCUCUUACAGAACUUGGUCACAAGCCAAUGCUAAACUUAUUUAACCAUACAACUAGUUUCAAGGAGAUGCAUCUUGUAUGACUGGGGGGUAGCAACUAUGCUGCAUCAACUUUGCAACAUCAAACAGCCAGCGUAAGUUGAAGAAGGCUUGUAUGUUCCUUGCAUACAUUACAAAAAUACACUACUACAUGUUUAACGGGGAACUGCAGUCCUGCCUGUUGUAGUGGAUAGCAACAAAGACUCCAAACACAAUGAUCCGUUUUAUUACUGGCCAUUCUUAUGACCGUUUCUCCUUCAAAUUCAGGUUCAUGCCCUCUUCCCUGCUCUAGAUAGAAAAUAAACCAAAAAAAAAACUUCAUGAUUAAUUAGAGGCAGAAGUGACUUCCAGUAGUCAGCAAUGGCCAAAUACUAUCUUUUUUUUUUUUUUUUUCUGAUGGAGAAAGAUAAACACAGAAGCUUCAUGUCCUUAUUUAAAAUAAAAGUCUAAGGACAACAUAGCAUUUUCUUUUUUUCUUUGACAAAAGAUUUUUUUCAACACCAAUCACCGAAAAACACUACUGUACAAACCAGGAGGUUUUUUCAAAGAUCUAAUCUAUAUCUCAACUUAAUAAAUAAAGAAAGUCUGAACUUGGAGAACAUGACAAUUCAAGCAAAUCAAUUUCUUUGAGCAACAACAAGUUAAAGGAAAAAAAUCAAACCGGCUGCUGUAAACAAUAUACUAUUUUCAGUUUCAUGGCUAUGGUUAGAUGUCAGUACUGUCACGGACUUAGUUGGUUUUGCCAAAGUUAAACACCACUCUUGUGUGUUCAUCCGCAAAGGAUCAAUCUCCCCAAAAUCUUUUAUAGUCUCUUAAGGACUUGCAAAAGAAAAGAUGGGUUAGAAGAAGCGUUUAACUUAGGAUCCCACAAGCAGUCAUUUCAACAAACAUUUGAUAGACAAUGCAAAUUACAAACAUAGACUUCACAAAUUUUGAACGAUCACGUAACAAAGGGUCCAAGAUGAUCCGUCAUGACCAAAAGUCUCCAUAAAUGCUUAUAUGAUACUGCUGUGGAACAAGAUAGCGAACCACCUCUAGACACUAUCCCAAAGGCUCAUCCAGUCAUGUGCCACCUAUGUAGCUCCUGGGUGUUGUGCUGGUUGACACUCCGCACCACUCAACGAAGCUAGAAAAACCCCAAAAUGGCUGUCUGGAUAGUCUAUUUUUGGACUGUUUUGCCUCUGCACAAUAACUGCAUACAACCUACAUUUACAAGACUGAAACAACCACAAAACCAAAUCAAAAUAAGAUUGUUAAGCCUACUGCAAGCCCUCUAUAUACUGUGCAAAGCACGAACAAAACUGGAAGAUAAGACAUACACGAACAUUAUAUCAAACACCGUGUUUACAUCUUUGUCUGUGACAGUACAGUACAUGCUCUUUGACAUGGCAUUUCAUGGGUUAUAUUUAGACAUCAACUCUGUGCCAAUCUAGCACUCUGCCAAUUUGCACUUAAUAAAACCGCCAGUAGUAUGCCACUUGGUACAUGCAAAAAUCAAAUAGAAAAGGCAAGUAUAUAUAUGAACACAACAACCACAAGCGAUCUGCAAUAACUAAAUAUAAAAUAGCUCUUAAUACCACCAACAGUCCUAUAUCAGAUAAAGCUAUAAUGUAAUUUGGUAUCGUGAUCAUCAACAACCUCAAAAGUGCAGCUGAAUAUCACUUCUUUUCAAAAACAAGGCCCAUGUGAUUUGUGACAAUAUGACAUCAGGGCAAAAACUAAUACUGGUUCAUCGCUCAACUUGAGACCUACUGUACAAUCUCUAGUAGGACCCUACCAGAGUUGGAACAUGAUAAGCCACAUAAUACUGGUGUCAUUCACCAGUUCGAUACUCACAUUAGACAUGCAAACAGGACGUGAAUUCUUCUGGUCUAGUGUACAGAACUUAGAUACAGAUAUGGAAAUCACAUGGAGAGAAGCAUACACAAGGUAAAUCCAGGAAAAGGAAAGAUGAAAACAUCGCUUUUAAUAUAAGUUACUAGCAACCAACAAGAGGGAGACUUGGAGACAAAGAUGAAAGCAUAAGUUUUUUCUUCUUACACUCAUGGGGUCCCUUUCAGUAUGACGAUUACAUUUUUGAGGCAAAUGAUAGUGUUAGAUUAAAGCUACACUUGCAAUAAGAAAAAAAUGGCCUUCCGCGGUCAUAGCUGCCAAUACCAGUAAGCCAUACCAUGGAAUUCCAAGCUGACGAAAGCCUGUUUGUACUAUAGCCAACCACAUCUUGACCUAAUGCACAAAAUGGAUUCCAAUAUAUCGCAUUGCUUCGAUGAGCUCCACACCAACCAUAUCUUGACCAACCGCAUAAAAUGGAUCUCUAUAUACUGCAUUACUACAUUCAAGAGCAGGCCUAAAUGGAUCUCUAUAUACUACAUUGACGAUCAGGCCUAAAUAGUACAAAUCUCAUACUUAUUAUACUAUAUCACGAAUGACAAUUGAAAGACAUCCAAUCUUCCGCUUUGUUUCAGAAAAGACAAAUGCCAAGUUUUCCUACUUGUGCGAAGAAAUUUAAGUAGAAACCUGAAUUUAGAUGUGCUUUUACGAAGGAUGUGCCUUCAACUAUAGAUUAUGUAUCCUAAACAGAAAUAAAGAAGCCUGAUUUGGAACCGAUGAUUCACAAAAUAAGAUGCAAACAAGAACAAGGCGAUUCUCACCUCUUCGAUGGAGAUUACUUGUACCAUACUAAAACCUAAGACACCCUUUACAUCAAACUUGAUACCCACGGCCAGGUUUCGCUGAUCGACAUGCUGAAGAAAACAACAAACCCUCUAUCACGUUUUAACGUUUCCACCACAGUCACUAGAAUCCCAAGUCCCUCAUACUCAAAAGAACGGCCUAAUCUGGCGGCACGGGAAGGAUCUAUCACCUAAUAAAGCCGAGCGAAUCUGUCCUCGUUGUCGAGCAGCCGACCGACGACCGAGCUGGGGAUGAAGCCAGCGAGGCCAUCGCCCCCCACCGGAGGCAGGCUCGAGCCUCGUCGCCACCGCCUUCGCCGAGGCAAGCGCGGGUUGGAGGCCGAAUUGGCGACGAGAGGCAGA